AGGAAUUGGGGACACAGAGUGAUUACUAUACUUUGGGUAUCCAGUAUCACAUAGGUCACACUCCUAUAGUGAUGAUGGGUGUAUUAACCACACGGCAGAUGUUGUGAUGGGGAAAUACAGAGUCAAUGUAUGUGCACAUCUCAUGUUACAAUAGCUAGUGGCUGUCGAUCACUAUCUUUUAAGUACUGGGUACUGUGUUACACACUCAUGAGUGUUAAUAUUUAUGGCACACCUGUGACGUAGUUUCUAUAAUUAUCCACUUCUUGCAGGCAGAAAAUGAAGUUUAAAGGGGUUAAACUGUCUGAGAUCAGUUAAUAAGAGACAGAGGCAAGAAUUAAACCCAAAGCUCCAGCUCUUAACCGGGCACAGCUUGGAUUUUAACCCACACACCAUGACUCCAAUGAAGACAUACAAGGUGGAACCUGUUGCUAAGUCAUGGCAAGCCAACAUAGUGUCCCAUCAGGACAAGGCUUUGCAACAGGAAUGAUUCAAUCACUCAGGAGGUAUUUUCGUUGACAUUAUAAUGAAUAAUUGUCUGGGCUGAUGGUUUGGGGAUUUUUUUUUCUCUUCACAAGAUUAACCACUCACUUGACCAGACUAAUCGACUCAACCAGUAAGUUCAGCAUCAUGAAAAUAUACUCCCUGAACUGAGAUUCAAAAUACGAAAUUAUAGGAUAUAUUUAACUGCCAAAAAGUAUAAUAAAAUAAAGUGGAGUUUGGGGCUGUGGAUUUAUAACAAAGACAGUGGUAGUCACUAUACUGGUCUUGAGCUGCUUAUACUGCUUCCCGCACAUUAGUGUGCACACAGAUCACAUGGGGAUACUGCUGAAGUACAAACUCUGAAUUGGUAUGCCUAGGGUGGGGCCAGAGAUUCUGUGUCUCUAACCUGCUUCCGGGAAAUACCAAUGCUACUGAUCCAGGGACCACAUUCUGAGCAGCACGGGUCUAGUAGUAUUCCCCCUAUCGCCCCAGCAUGAGGAUUAUCUGAAGCCUCCAUGAAAACUACACAGCCCCAGGAUCUACCCCAUCCUGCUGAAUUAAUAUCUCUAAGAGAGAGGCCGGGGAAGCUAAAUGUCUAUCGGGCACACAAAGUGACUCAGGUCAUCAGCCAGAAUUCCUGGUCUGGACAACUCUAAAAACCAACCCUCGGACUAUGAAUAUACUAUGCAUAUACAGAAGCAAUUAUCAAUUUUUAAAAUCCAAGUGUUGGCCUCUUUCAAUGUGUUGCAUCAACUGAUCUAUGCUAUUUAUGCUUAGUGAUUUAGGAGAUCUCAUUAUUUAAUGAACUAUAUGUAUAUUAGGCAGUCUUAGUAACAUGAGCCCUGUCUGUGUCAAAGACCCAGCCAUAAAACUUCACUUGGAAAUGGAUUAAGGCUGACAGAUACUAUACAUGUGCAUGCUUGAUGUUGAUAUGUAUGUAUGGCUAGGGUUUUAUUUGUGCAAGAAAUGUUAGCUGUCCAGCAGUUAAAACUGGAGGUGAAGAAGGACAAGAAUAAGCAGAAAAGUUAUAAGACUUUACAGCAUCUACAUUGACAAAACCAGCAAAUAUUACUACUAUUUGAGUCUCUGAUGCAAAACAGUUGUUUUACAGAUUGUCAAUCCUAUUUGAGAUGUGCCAGACUCUCCUUGUUUCAAUCAGAUAAUUAAAUGUCCAUCUUGCAAUUACCAACUGAUAUAUAAAUGUACACACACACACACACAUGUAUUACGAUUGCCAAAAAUGUUUUGUAGAAAACCAGAAGGUGUAUUUAUGGAAGCUCUUGUUUAGGACUUGCCUACUUGGCUCUGGACCAUUUUCCCACCCCAAGGAACCCCAUCCUUAUAAAAUAGAAUUGUUGGAAUUAAUAAAAUUAUCUACGUUCAAUUA